ACAUAACUACAAUCACAUGCAAUAAUAUCAUACAGUAACUACCAUAAUUAACAGCCAUAGGGGGGACAUAAGCUAAAAUACAAAUCAUCUAUGGGUAACCCUGCUGGCCCACUCCCAACCCCGGAUGAGGCGUACGAAAAACUCUAGGAGCCUCUAUCCUACAACCCUGAUUCUAGACCUCCAGACUCUCCUAUCAAGGGUCAUGUCAUCGGAAACCUGCAUUCUAGUCAUGUCCUGCCUAAUCACCUCUCCCCAAUGCUUCUUAGGCCUCCCUCUGCCUCGCCGACCGCCAACAAUCUCCAGCCGC
rnacentral:lncRNA from 1 species